CGCGUAGGCGGCGCGGGAAGUCAUCGGUGAAAGUUCAGGGCUCAACUCUGAAUCGGCCGGUGAUACUCUCGUGCUUGAGCACUGUAGAGGCAGGUGGAAUUCCGGGUGUAGCGGUGGAAUGCGUAGAGAUCCGGAAGAACACCGGUGGCGAAGGCGGCCUGCUGGGCAGUAGCUGACGCUGAUGCGCGACAGCGUGGGGAGCAAACAGGAUUAGAUACCCUGGUAGUCCACGCCGUAAACGAUGGGCACUAGGUGCUUGGGGGAGCGACCCCCUGAGUGCCGGCGCUAACGCAUUAAGUGCCCCGCCUGGGGAGUACGGCCGCAAGGCUGAA
rnacentral:rRNA from 1 species